UCAAUCACGCCCUCGGCCCAGCAGCAAUGCAAACUUCUCAUCUCCGCCUUUCUAUCAAUCGCAACCAGCAGCUGCGCCCAACUCUCCAUUUCUCCACCCUGCUGUAACCAGCCACCUGCAACUAAUCUUCCCACACCAACCGCGAACCAUACCAGCCCUAACCUCGGCUGCUACCUUUGCCAUGCCAACCACUUAAUCCCUCGCUGCUCCGCCAUCUCACAACCAGCAACCUCCG
rnacentral:lncRNA from 1 species